rnacentral:rRNA from 1 species
AACGAACGCUGGCGGCGUGCCUAAUACAUGCAAGUCGAGCGGAGCGGCGGACGGGUGAGUAAUGCCUAGGAAUCUGCCUGGUAGUGGGGGAUAACGUCCGGAAACGGGCGCUAAUACCGCAUACCAUCAGAUGAACCCAUAUGGGAUUAGCUAGUAGGUGAGGUAACGGCUCACCUAGGCGACGAUCCCUAGCUGGUCUGAGAGGAGGAUCAGCCACACUGGGACUGAGACACGGCCCAGACUCCUACGGGAGGCAGCAGUGGGGAAUAUUGCACAAUGGGCGCAAGCCUGAUGCAGCCAUGCCGCGUGUAUGAAGAAGGCCUUCGGGUUGUAAAGUACUUUCAGUCGGGAGGCGUUACCGACAGAAGAAGCACCGGCUAACUCCGUGCCAGCAGCCGCGGUAAUAC